UGCAAUCCUGACUAAAUUUGGCAGUUUGAAUAACCGAAUAGAAAUGCAUCUUCACAGGUUAUGUUUUCGUUACAGUAAGUUUAAUGCAGUGGUGACAGGGAGACCUGUAACAUUU
rnacentral:snoRNA from 1 species